rnacentral:rRNA from 1 species
GAUGAACGCUGGCGGCGUGCUUAACACAUGCAAGUCGAACGGAAAGGCCCAAGCUUGCUUGGGUACUCGAGUGGCGAACGGGUGAGUAACACGUGGGUGAUCUGCCCUGCACUUCGGGAUAAGCCUGGGAAACUGGGUCUAAUACCGGAUAGGACCACAUUUUGGAUGGUGUGGUGGAAAGUUUUUCGGUGUGGGAUGAGCUCGCGGCCUAUCAGCUUGUUGGUGGGGUAAUGGCCUACCAAGGCGUCGACGGGUAGCCGGCCUGAGAGGGUGUACGGCCACAUUGGGACUGAGAUACGGCCCAGACUACUACGGGAGGCAGCAGUGGGGAAUAUUGCACAAUGGGCGCAAGCCUGAUGCAGCGACGCCGCGUGGGGGAUGACGGCCUUCGGGUUGUAAACUCCUUUCGCUAGGGACGAAGCGCAAGUGACGGUACCUGGAGAAGAAGCACCGGCUAACUACGUG